UUUCUAUAAUCCCCUAUGGGAAAAAAUGAAUGGUGGAAAAACAAUUGGAACUAUUUCUCUGUUUGACUUCUAGGUUUUAUAGGAGUUAUGACUUAUACUGUGGUACUUUAUAAUUAAGCAAUAAGGCACGAGGGGACGUGGUAUAUGGCCAAUAUACCACGGCUAAGGGCUGUACUUAUGCACGACGCAUUGCGGAGGCAUAGACACAGCCCUUUAGCCGUGGUAUAUUUUCCAUAUACCACAAACCCCGAGCUGCCUUAUUGCUAUUAUAAACUGGCUACCAACGUAAUUAGAGCAGUAAAAAUAAAUGUUUUGUCAUACCUGUGGUAUAUGGUCUGAUAUACCACGGCUGUCAGCCAAUCAGCAUUCAGGGCUUGAACCACCCAGCUUAUAACAGGUAAUAAAGGACCAGUGAUAGUAUUACAGGUAAUAGAGGACCAGUUAUAUCGUAUUACAGGUAAUAGAGGAGUAGUGAUACAGUUGUACAGGUAAUAGAGGAGCAGUGAUAGCGUAUUACAGGUAAUAGAGGAGCAGUGAUAGCGUAUUACAGGUAAUAGAGGAGCAGUGAUAGCGUAUUACAGGUAAUAGAGGAGCAGUGAUAGCAUAUUACAGGUAAUAGAGGAGCAGUGAUAGCGUAUUACAGGUAAUAGAGGAGCAGUGAUAGCGUAUUACAGGUAAUAGAGGAGCAGUGAUAGCGUAUUACAGGUAAUAGAGGAGCAGUGAUAGCGUAUUACAGGUAAUAGAGGAGCAGUGAUAGUAUUACAGGUAAUAGAGGAGCAGUGAUAGCGUAUUACAGGUAAUAGAGGAGCAGUGAUAGCGUAUUACAGGUAAUAGAGGAGCAGUGAUAGCAUAUUACAGGUAAUAGAGGAGCAGUGAUAGCGUAUUACAGGUAAUAGAGGAGCAGUGAUAGCGUAUUACAGGUAAUAGAGGAGCAGUGAUAGCGUAUUACAGGUAAUAGAGGAGCAGUGAUAGCGUAUUACAGGUAAUAGAGGAGCAGUGAUAGUAUUACAGGUAAUAGAGGAGCAGUGAUAGUAUUACAGGUAAUAGAGGAGCAGUGAUAGUAUUACAGGUGAUAGAGGAGCAGUGAUAGCGUAUUACAGGUAAUAGAGGAGCAGUAAUAGCGUAUUACAGGUAAUAGAAGAGCAGUGAUAGUAUUACAGGUAAUAGAGGAGCAGUUCUGUAUGGUAUGUAUUGCAGCUAACAGAGGAGCAGUGAUAGCGUAUUAUAGGUAAUAGAGGAGCAGUGAUAGCGUAUUACAGGUAAUAGAGGAGCAGUGAUAGUAUUACAGGUAAUAGAGGAGCAGUGAUAGUAUUACAGGUAAUAGAGGAGCAGUGAUAGUAUUACAGGUAAUAGAGGAGCAGUGAUAGUAUUACAGGUAAUAGAGGAGCAGUGAUAGCGUAUUACAGGUAAUAGAAGAGCAGUGAUAGUAUUACAGGUAGUAGAGGUCAGUGAUACCAUAUUACAGGUAAUAGAAGAGCAGUGAUAGCGUAUUACAGGUAAUAGAAGAGCAGUGAUAGUAUUACAGGUAGUAGAGGUCAGUGAUACCAUAUUACAGGUAAUAGAAGAGCAGUGAUACAGUAUUACAGCUAACAGAGGAGCAGUGAUACUGUAUUACAGAUAAUAGAGGAGCAGUGAUAGCAUAUUACAGCUAACAGAGGAGUAGUGAUACCAUAUUACAGGUAAUAGAGGAGCAGUGAUAGUAUUACAGAUAAUAGAAGAGCAGUGAUAGUAUUACAGAUAAUAGAGGAGCAGUGAUAGUAUUACAGAUAAUAGAGGAGCAGUGAUAGUAUUACAGAUAAUAGAGGAGCAGUGAUAAUGUGUUACAGGUAAUAGAAGAGCAGUGAUACAGUAUUACAGGUAAUAGAGGAGCAGUGGUGUACGGCAUGUAUUACAGAUAAUAGAGGAGCAUUGAUGCCGUAUUACAGUUAAUAGAAGAGCAGUGAUAGUAUUACAGGUAAUAGAAGAGCUGUGAUAGUAUUACAGGUAAUAGAAGAGCAGUGAUAGUGUUAGAGAUAGUGAAGGAGCAGUGCUGUACUUAUGUAUUACAGCUAACAGAGGAGCAGUGCUACCAUAUUACAGGUAAUAGAGGAACAAUAUUACCAUAUUACAGGUAAUAGAGGAGCUGCUGCAGAGCUAAUAAUUAUGAUUAUGGAGUCAAAAAUAUUCUAAAUACUUUACAGACUUUAGAAAUACAGCAACAACAGGAACAUCUGCACUCAGAAAUCAGACUAAUGAAUAAAAUGAAAUGUUUUUGAAUCCUAAAUCGACCCUUAGCCCCUGUUUCAUAGGCCUAUGCACUCCAGUAUUCCAGUGCAGUACUGUAUAUCACCCUAUUCUUUACAUAGUGCACUACUUUUGGCCUGAACUCUGGAUUAGGGACUUCUACAGGGAUCUGUCUUGUGUUCUGUUGAUGUUUCUGUUGGCUAGAAGAAUAAAGACACACAUGUUUCUGGG